AUCAUCAAAACAUUUUUUUACUUAUUUUAUUUUCGAGUGGGGUGAAUUACUAUCCAUGAUAAUAACUGUACAAUUUUCACACUGACAAUUUUAUCUGAGACAUUAACAGGUAAUUUAUGAAUAUGUUAAUAACCGAUAUUUUAACAGAACAAUGGUGGAUGACCAAGAAAAUUUAAAUGUUUACGUUUAUUCCAUUUUGAAAUCGUAGUUGUUCUCUAAAAGGUGGCAAUAAUGAGUGGAAAUGGUUUCCUUUAGGUCAAAACUACUUUUUUGUUCGUAUAUUCGUGUUAUCCUGAUCUGUUAUCCUUGUCUAUCUGUGACUUGUUGUUCUUUAUAUGUCUUCCUAAGGAGUAUCCAGUCUAAUAUGCAUGUUAUAUGAUGAGUUGAUGUUAUUUUUUGUUGGCAGUAUUUUCAUUUCAUUUACUUACUUGUCGUUAGUUAAUAACUAUGACAUAUGAAGAACAAGUCACGGGUCUACAACGUAGCAUGCCCAAAAGUUCAUAUAGGAAGGACUUCAAGAAAUUUCAAAAUGAGGUUUGGCGAACACAAAAAAAGUUUUGAGCAUACAGAAAAUGAGGAACAAAAAACAUGAAUUGAACCUGCUGAAAUCUUGGGAAACGUGAACGUUACAUUUUUUUCGAACGACCAACAAGGAGGUAAUCAUUCACCAUUGUUGAACUCAUUUUCAUAAAAUUCCGAUAAUCAAGAGAUUGAUGAAUUACCUGUUGUUCUAGAAGAACUAUACUGUAUUCUAAUUGUUUUUCAAAAUCUACCUGUUUUGUCAGAAAUAAUAAUAAUAAUAAUAUGUUUAUUAUCGCAUACACUGACAUACAUUACAUAGAGUGCUAUCGAAAAUAAACAAGAUAUUCACAAAAGCCAUAGAAAUAUAUAGCUUGUUAGUGAUAAGGAUACAUUGUAAUCAACUAUAUAAAUACUUAAUCUAACAGUAUGAUGAUGAAUGAUGAAUUAAUCAAUAACCUUAUUAACAGAGACAGUAGUUUCAGACAGAAUACAUAGUUAUUUUCGUCUGCUCAACAAAUGCUUAAGUUAAAUUGCUGUUUUAAAUAGUUUGAUUAACAAAAUCAGAGAAGAAAGCUCUUUUGGUAUUCAGAAUGAAUUUCCUUACUUCUCUCUUAAACAUGUGAGAAGUGUUGAUAUUUUUUAUUUUUUCUGGUAAUAUUUGGUAUAAGCGUGGUCCGAGAUAUGUUGCAUUUUUUUGUCCUAUGGUUUUGUCGAAUAUCACAUACAUUCGCUUCUUUAAAUGAGGCAGCAGUUGGAUGAGUUUUUUUGCUAUUAAUCAUAAUCUUCAGUAUCCAUUUUUGUAUGACAGAAAUAAUCAUUCACAUAAUCAGGUUAUUUUGGCAUGAACUGUAAAUAAUUAACAUACUUAUGAAUGACCUGUUAUUUUAGAAGUAAUAUUGCAUUAUAAUUGUUUUUACCUGUUUUACCAAAAUCAGUCAUCUAUCUAAUUAAGUUUUGUAAUUACCUACUGUUAUAUAAAGUAGUAAUUCGAAGUACCAGUAUAACUUGAUAAAGCUCAAAUAAAAUCUUCAGUGUGAAAAAGGUAUAAUUAUUAUCAUGGAUAGUAUUAUUAAUUUUCAUAAAGUAAGGGGUCAGAGUUUUCAUAAAAUGAGGCAAAGUCAACCCAUCUUAGCCCAUAUCAUUUCAUCAUAUUUAUAUCAUGGUAGUGAUAAAAUCAUCUAGGGUAAGAGCUACAUCCCUCAAACCCCUCAAAUCACCAAUCUUUCAUUGAAAAGAGUUUUAUAAAAUAACAUUCGACAGUUUCGAUGCUCGUUUAAACUAUCACCUCAACCAUCGACUUUCAAUUGAAAUUUGUUGCACAUACCUUGCUUUACAAUGGAAAACUCACAAGUCUCAGUGUUAAAAUAUUUUGAUUUCAAUAAAGCUGUUCAAAUUGCUUGAAAUUUCGUCACAAUGCGAAACUGAAAAUGCCAAAUUUUGGACCUCCCGAAAAACGUUCCCCUGGCGGUAAUUAGUGGCAUCAGAUACUGAGCGUGAAACAAAUAUAAGUUCAGGGAUACCAGGGACCAUUCGAAAUUACCUAUGUACAAAUAUAAGUUAUCCAGCUUGAGUUCAAAGUUGAACUGACCGAUCCCGAAUUAUUUUCAAAAUUGUAUCAAAGCUAUUUUUUCGGAUUUUUUGGCCGUGAUUUGCAAGAUUUUAUUUCUAACAUUUCGUAUACAAUAGCGGUGGGCAUUAUCAAAAGCCAUGAUGCAACGGAUGGAGUGUCCUAGUUGCCUUAACAGUGCCUACACUACAUUGGUCGGAGAAUACCUUCUCGAUUUUAUUCCAUCGUUGGCGUGGUUCAUUCUUUCCUAUUAGUUGAGUAAAACGGCCUGAUUCGUGCACAGUUUAGUACCGGUAGCCAAAUACGAUCAUUAUUCAUUUCUCUUUCCUUUUGGUUGAAACUAUCUACGAAUGACUGAACUGUAUGGUGUUAUUCUUGUUCAAUUUGCUUGUUGAUUUGUCGUAAUAUAUUCAGCACGAAGAGGUUGAGUUGUUCUGCGCCUUCGUCUCUUCUGGAUGCACUUUUCGAGAGAUUAUGCUCACCCUCUCUCACUCACUGAUCGAUUUCACUUUUGCUCAGCUUUCCAAAAUUUUCAGUGUGGAAUCAAGAAUCGUUUGGUUUCACAUUGAACCUCGCUAAGGAUUUCAGGUUCAUCAUUCAGCGCAGAAUUCGCGGCCUGGCAUUUCUCUUGGCGACCAUGACUAGUUCGUUCUGAGAAUCGAUUGAAUUUUUUCAUAAUAUCCUGUAGUGUUGAGCUGGAAACAUCAUGAGAAAAAUAGGAAGUCGGGACGUUGAUCAAAUUUUCGGAUAAACCGAUGCGUUCCUUUCUAUUUGCAGUAUUGUUCGAAGAAGUCGUGUAUUAUCGGAGCGAGCCUAAUAUCAUCAGAAUUCAAGCUCAUGGAGGACUUUCUUUUCACUAAGUGAUGAUAAUUUUUCACUAUAAAUCUACUCGUCUCAAUGUUCGCUACGUACAACUCAACUGUAUUAUCAUUUUCUAUCAAGUUAUUAAUGUAGCUUUGGAAAUUGUCCUUGUUUUCGUAGAAUGGAGCUUUAACGUUAGUAGCCUGAGAGAGACUGCUUUAUCUCAUUAGUAAUGCUUCGGAAAACAAAUCCUUUUGUUAUAUUUCAUUAUCGAUCGAAUCAUAGGUUCUUGUCCGGAUUUACGCAGUUGUUAACACCAUUCACUUUUUCACUGGGUCCGCUCCAAAUAUCAUCUAAUUCAUGAAUUCUCACUAUAUAUUAUUUUGUCUCUAGUGAUUCGAAUCAACCUUAUUCUCAUCCUUGGUAGAGUUUUUUUCGUGGGGUCAUUUGUUAGCCACAGAGAGAUUACGGGCAGAAGUUCUGAAAUUCAUUUUGGGUACUGUAACCUUGUCAUAUUCCAACUAACACCUCUCAGUUUCCAUCAUUUCUUUUGAAUUUGCACUUCUGAAAGCAAUAUAUGAACCUUUACCUGCAUUUCCAAUCAAUAUCCAACGAUUUUCCUAAUAUCAUCAUCGUGAAGAACGGUCUUCUCGACCGUAUUGUAUCGGUUAUUCAAACCCAAUACUAACUCAUCAUUAGUAGUAUCUAAAUAAUGAUGUUCAAUCGAUAAUUGAUAACAGUUCUUUUCGUGUAUUGUCGAGUCCUUUUUGAGAUUGUCUGUCAUCGUCUACGGCAUAAUCUUCCUCCUCAUUAUCGGCAAAGCUUCCUUGACACUUUCACACCUCAUUUUGUUCUCCAUAGAAUGUCUCUGUCUCUUGUAGAAUACUCUGGAAAAUUAUUGUGUGAUGUGCUCAAAAUGUCAGGAAAUGCCAAUACUGAGUAGGAAUCGUUGAAAUUGUGGAUUUUCGAAUGUUGUGGGAAAGUACCGAAAGUCGGGGAAUAGUUACUGAAAACAUUAGACCGGGUGGCCAAAACGUUAGUCAAAACCUUCAAGCUUCGAUUCUCGAAGGAUUCCAAUGGAAAACGAUUAGGGCUAGAUGAGCAGAGUCUCACAGGAAAUAAAUAAUCGGAUUUCCAAUAGUUUGGAUUGUUUCUCCGUGCGACAGCUUUCACUGAUGGAGUCUUCAGCACAAAAAGUACCUCGAGAAUUAAACCUCAUGUGAAGAACGUUCAACAUUUGAAACCGUAUAACUUCGUUUCUCGCAGUUUACUGGCGGAAAAUGCAAAGUGUUUUCUCCAUAGCAUCUAAUAACAAACAGGUUCCAAGUUGGAAGUUUUUUUGACGUUAGCUCCCAGUAUCACUUUGCCAUCAAGAGUGCGUAACUUCUUAUUAGAACUGGGCUAGUUGUCGAUAUCAGUCAUUUGCUCGCAUAAACCAUGGUCUGUUUGGAAUAAAUCCUACAUACACCUCAAGAUACUCCGUUCUUGUAGAUACUGUCUUGGUGAUGUUCAUCAGAAGGUGGAGUCACAAACCCCUUGAACAUUUCGUAAAUGUCUCCUAGUUUCCUACUGAAAAAAUCAGUUUGCGUUUCUGACAACACAGUUGGCAGAUGAAAGACUUGUCCUUCAUUCACAAGUCAUCUUUUUAAACGACUCUGCAUUGUUAUCAUUUUUGUGAUUAUUAUCUGCUAGGCAUAUUUUUCGGGCGAUUUAAUUUUCUACCAACUUCACAUAAAUGAUUCUUAUCUUUACUUGUCAUACCUGAGAAUGUAACUAUCGUGAUUCAUGCCGAGGAUAUGAAUCAUUCUCCGUAUUGGUAGUCACUAUCAGCAGUACUCUCUCAUGAAAUGAGCACGUCAGAAUUAUUGCAAUAGCAUUGCAAAAACGUGGCUUUCUUUUUUGAUUCAGAAGUUGUCCUCUCCUCUCGAACAUGAAAUAUCCGCGGUUAUACCAGCUCGCAGCAGAUAUCUUGGUCAGACAAAUGCAAAAUGCUGUCGUUUUCCAUUCUUUUCAUGAACUCAGAGCACAUGAUUUUGGAUGUAUCUAAGCUUGAAUGUACUCGUAUUGCAGCAAUAUCUACCUAUUUAAUAUUUUUGGAAUUUUUGCUACCAAAAUGAAAUUUAUCUCAUUUUUGUGUGAUUUUCAAUGCCGUAAAUAAUAAAAAAUUCGAGCAAAUCAGUCCUACGAAAUGACUGCUGAAAGAUUUGUCUGGUAAAUUUAUCUGAACUGUGGAUGGUCCCACUUGACGUAAUAUUCAACUACUAUGUUUUGCUACUCAACACCAGCUUUAUGUUUUAAUCUUUGGAAACUGUAAUAAUCAUAUCAACAUCCAUGAAUAAACAUUUCUUUUUGAGUUAGGAUAAAGAUGAGUUCUUACAGAAUUCUAAUCCUAACACUGUGGUGGUGCAACAAAUUUCAAUAGGAAGUUUAACUUGUGAAUAUUUUUCAGAUAGUGUCCACAAUUGUACUCCUUUACUACAGUGUACGUGUAAUCCACGACCUCUAAUAGAACUUUAGAAUAUAAAUUUAAAGAUAUACUAGUUCAUUGUUACCUUAAUUUUAUUAAUAACACUUCUGAAAAGUAAUACCUAAUACAAUUUCAAAUAUAACAAUCGACAUGAAAUCAUUGACAUGAAUUUGUUAACGAAAAACAAAUCUUUCAUCUGCCAACUAUGUUGUUAGAAACGCAAACUGAUUUUUCCAGUACAAAACUAGGAGACAUUCAUUAAAUGUUCAAAGGGGUUUGUAACUCCACCUUCUGAUGACCAAGAUGACAGGAUCUACAAGAACGGAGUACCUUGAGGUGUAUGUAGGAUUUAUUCCAAACAAACCAUGGUUUAUGCGAGCAAAUGCCGGAUACUGACAACUAAACCAGUUCUUACAAGAAGUUACGCACUCUUGAUGGCAAAGUGAUACUGGGAGCUGACGACAAAGAAAACUUCAAACUUGGAACCUGAUUGUUGUUGGAGGCCAUGGAGAAAACACGUUGCAUUUUCCGCCAGGAAACUGUGAGAAACGAAGUUAUAAGGUUUCAAAUGUUGAACGUUCUCCACAUGGGGUUUAAUUUUCGAUGUACUUUUUGUGCUGAAGACUCCAUCAGUGAAAGCUGUCGCACGGAGAACCAAUCCAAACUAUUGGAAUUUCGUUUAUUCAUUUCCUGUGAGACUCUGCUCAUCUAGUUCUAAUCUUUUUCCAUUGGAAUCCUUCGAGAAUCGAAACUUGAAGGUUUUGACUAAUGAUUUGGCCACCCAGUCUAGUGUUUUGAGUAACUAUUCGCCGACUUUCGGUACUUUUCCACAACAUUCGAAAAUCCACAAUUUCAACGGUUCCUACUCAGCGUUGGCAUCCCCUGACAUUUUGAGCACAUCUCACAAUAAUUUUCCAGAAUGUUCUACAAGAGACAGAGAGAGAGCCAUUCUGUGGAGAACAGAAUGAGGUGCGAAAGUGUCAAGGAAGCUUUGCCGAUAAUGAGGAGGAAGAUUGUGCCGUAGACGAUGACAGACAAUCUCAAAAAGGACUCGACAAUACACGAAAAGAACUGUUAUCAAUUAUCGAUUGAACAUCAUUAUUUAGAUACUACUAAUGAUGAGUUAGUAUUGGGUUUGAAUAACCGAUACAAUACGGUCGAGGAGACCGUUCUUCACGAUGAUGAUAUUAGGAAAAUCGUUGGAUAUUGAUUGGAAAUGCAGGUAAAGGUUCAUAUAUUGCUUUCAGAAGUGCAAAUUCAAAAGGAAUGAUGGAAACUGAGAGGUGUUAGUUGGAAUAUGACAAGGUUACAGUACCUAAAAUGAAUUUCAGAACUUCUGCCCGUAAUCUCUCUGUGGCUAACAAAAGAUCCCACGAAAAAAAUUCUACCAAGGAUGAGAAUAAGGUUGAUUCAAAUCACUAGAGACAAAAUAAUAUAUAGUGAGAAUUCAUGAAUUAGAUGAUAUUUGGAGCGGACCCAGUGAAAAAGUGAAUGGUGUUAACAACUGCGUAAAUCCGGACAAGAACCUUUGAUUCGAUCGAUAAUGAAAUGUAACAGAAGAAUUUGUUUUCCCGAAGCAUUACUAAUGAGAUAUAGCAGUCAGUCUCAGGCUACUAACGUUAAAGCUCCAUUCUAUGAAAACAAGGACAAUUUCGAAAGCUACAUUAAUAACUUGAUAGAAAAUAAUAAUAUAGUUGAGUUGUACGUGGCGAACAUUGAGACGAGUAGAUUUAUAGUGAAAAAUUAUCAUCACAAAGUGAAAAGAAAGUCCUCCAUGAGCUUGAAUUCUGAUGAUAUUAGGCUUGCUCCGAUAAUACACGACUUCUUCGAACAAUACUGCAGAUGAAAGGAACGCAUUGGUUUAUCCGAAAAUUUGAUCAACGUCCCGACUUCCUAUUCUUCUCAUGAUGUUUCCAGCUCAACACUCCAGGAUAUUAUGAAAAAUUCAAUCGAUUCUCAGAACGAACGAGUCAUGGUCGCCAAGAGAAAUGCCAGGCCGCGAAUUCUGCGUUGAAUGAUGAACCUGAAAUCCUUAGCGAGGUUCAAUGUAAAACCUAACGAUUCUUGAUUCCACACUGAAAAUUUUGGAAAGCUGAACAGAAGUGAAAUCGAUUAGUGAGUAAGAGAGGGUGAGUAUAAUUUCUCAAAAAGUGCUUUCAGAAGAUGCGCAGGCGCAGAACAGCUCAACUUCUUCGUGCUGAAUAUAUUACGACAAAUCAACAAGCAAAUUGAACAAGAAUGACACCAUACAGUUCAGUCAUUCGUAGAUAGUUUCAACCAAAGGGAAGGAGAAAUUAACAAUAAUCGUGUUUGGCUACCUGUACCAAACUGUGCAGGAAUCAGGCCGUUUUACUCAACUAAUAGGAAUGAAUAAGCCACGCCCACCGAUGGAAUAAAACCGAGAAGACAUUCUCCGACCAAUGUAGUGUAGUUACUGUUAAGGCAACUAGGGCACUCCAUCCGUUGCAUCAUGGCUUUUGAUAAUGUCCAUCACUAUUGUAUACGAAAUGUUAGGAAUGAAAUCUUGCAAAUCACGGCCAACAAAUCCGAAAAAUAGCUUUGACACGGAUUGAAUAUUUCUGCAUAACUCUCCCCUUUAUUUUUGAUCAUCUACCGAUUCCACUGUUUUUGUUUCAUGCACUGGACCUGAUACCACGACAUGUCAUCCAGAGUAAUGGAGUUCAACUUUGAUGCUUGCUUCACACACCUGCCUCCAUCGCCCAGUAAGCAGAAACAGGUUUUUAUGAAGAGAAAUCCUGUGGCCUGAACUAAGUAGGCCCACGAUCAAGACAGUGUUCCCUUAGGAGAAGACAGUGGAGCAGACUAGAAUUAGAACGAGUAGGUCUACUAUCUACAAUCUCAGACGAAGAGAGCAUCAAUCUCGUGGGUUACCUCAACUCCGAGCAACCAAGAACCAAGGCUGUGGACCUGACACCACGACCAGUCACCCAGGAGGAUCCUGCCAAUGAAACAAUGGAAAUCUACCUGGAUAAUUGCCUCACAAACUUGCCUCCAUCGUUCAGUGCGUUUAAAGGAAGAAGAAUCCACCGUUAAGACAGUCUACCAUCUAUGAUCUCAGAAGAAGAGAACAUCAACUUUUAGGGUUCACUCUCCUUCCAAAAUCAGACAAAAACUAUGAUAUUGUUUUUCACUGAAUUGUGAAGUGAAUACUACUGGAAAAUAAAGUUAUCAUUGUUUUUA